UGAUUGCAGGACACACUGAGCACUUACUCUUUGAACGCACAUUGCGGCCUCGGGCCUUCCCGUGGCUUCGUCUGUGUGAGGGUCGGAUCAUAUAUCAAGAGAGGAGAAUUUGUUUUCUACCUCGUUUUGACUGUGUCGGAUCGUGGGCAGCACGCAUUUUUAUGCUUUCUUGCGUUGCGUCUUCUCUUGUUUUUCGGAGCAAGUACAGAGGGAGCAAAUGCACGAGUCGUGCGAUGCACGCGUGCGCUGACGAGGAGUCUUCCUCCUACCUGGUUUUAUCGAACACUGCAUGGAAAACGGAAACUCGAUGGAGACUGGUUGUGGAAGUCCCGAAAUCUUUCGCACGUUGAACGGCGCUUCGUGACGUCGGUGCGUUGGAAUGCGGAGACUGAAACGGUUUCUUUCGAUCGAUUCUGUUUUCUUUUGGCGUGGAUGUUGUUCGAAGCCUAAAUGGACGGAUGUACAGAGUUCGUCGGCGCGUUGAAACGCGGCGUCCGCUGUGGAAUCUCGUGGCGUUGAUUUGCACACUUCUUGCGUGGAAAGAAAACGAGAAAGACGUUUCUGGGAGGAAAGUUUUUUUUGCGUCGUAGCCUUCCGUCAGUCUAAGACCUUCGCGUCCCCGAUGAAUACUGGAGCCAUCCAGUAGGGGAAUGCCGUUGGAUUGCGAGCUUUCUUUUUUGUCAAAUCGAAAGCGAUGCAAAGCGUGUGUACACGACUUUACUCUCUUUUGCCAUCCUUUUUACAUUUUGUAGGGUAAGGAGGCAGAGAAUAGAGUUUGUUGGAAAGCGCAACCAUAUCCAAAAUGUCGACCUCACAUCAGGCGAGACAACCCGCUGAAUUUAAGCAUAUCACUAAGCGGAGGAAAAGAAACCAACAGGGAUUCCCUUAGUAGCGGCGAGCGAAACGGGACCUAGCCCAGCACCGAUUCCCCUCGGU
rnacentral:rRNA from 1 species